rnacentral:rRNA from 1 species
UUGCCAGCCCGCUCAGAAACUUAAAGGAAUUGACGGGGGCCCGCACAAGCGGAGGAGCAUGUGGUUUAAUUCGAUGAUACGCGAGGAACCUUACCUGGGCUCGAACGUAAGAUGACUGUAGGUGAAAGCUUACAUCUCUUCGGAGCAUUUUACGAGGUGCUGCAUGGUUGUCGUCAGCUCGUGCCGUGAGGUGUCGGGUUAAGUCCCAUAACGAGCGCAACCCCUACCUUUAGUUGCCAUCAGGUUAAGCUGGGGACUCUAAAGGAACUGCCUACGCAAGUAGUGAGGAAGCGGGGAUGACGUCAAAUCAGCACGGCCCUUACGUCCAGGGCUACACACGUGCUACAAUGGCCGAUACAGAGGGCAGCUACCUGGUGACAGGAUGCAAAUCUCCAAAGUCGGUCUCAGUUCGGAUCGGAGUCUGCAACCCGACUCCGUGAAGUUGGAUUCGCUAGUAAUCGCGCAUCAGCCAUGGCGCGGUGAAUACGUUCCCGGGCCUU